rnacentral:rRNA from 1 species
CGAGGGUGCAAGCGUUAAUCGGAAUUACUGGGCGUAAAGCGCGCGUAGGCGGCUUUGUAAGUCGGAUGUGAAAGCCCUGGGCUCAACCUGGGAAUUGCAUUCGAAACUACAGAACUAGAGUAUGGUAGAGGGAAGUGGAAUUUCCGGUGUAGCGGUGAAAUGCGUAGAUAUCGGAAGGAACAUCAGUGGCGAAGGCGACUUCCUGGGCCAAUACUGACGCUGAGGUGCGAAAGCGUGGGGAGCAAACAGGAUUAGAGACCCGAGUAGUCC